AUGCGGGGGAAGCGCAAGAGGUGCUGUCUCUCAUUCGUGCGAAGGAAAUCGCGCAGGCUGCACUUGCUAAGGCAGCGCAGCCCGCGCUGCGCCUGCAGCAAAGGAAGCAGGGGCUUCUCUGGUGCCAGCUGUGCGACCCGAUCAGGAGGACCAAAUAGCAGGGGCUGCACCGUCCUCCCUCAACCGUCGUCCUGCCAGGACACGGCGCGUGGCCAAAGCGGUUACCGCUCGCGGUAUCCGUCUACGAAACCGCAUCAUUUAAUGCGUUUCAUCUUCUGGAACAUCCGAGGCUUCGGCCACGCUGGGAGGCGGACCCAGUUAAGAGAGUUCAUUAGGAACGAGGAAAUCGACGUGGUCGGAUUGCAAGAGACUAUCAAGGCCGAUUUCAACCACCGGGACUUGCUUGCGGUUGACCCGUUGGAGCGUUUCGUCUGGCACUGGGUGCCUGCGGUAGGACACUCUGGGGGUUUGCUACUAGGAGUUAACCUAGUCUGCCUUGAAGUGGUGGCUUGGGAUGCCGGCCGCUUCUCCUUGUCGGCCCACGUGCGGCACCGCGCCACUCUUCAGGAGUGGAUGGUGAUUGCCGUGUAUGGCCCGGCCAAUCACUCGCUCUCGCUGGAGUUCUUGGAAGAGCUUCAGACAAAGGUGAGGGCUGUUGGCGUGAGCAACCUUCCUCUGCUGGUGGGGGGUGACUUCAACUUGAUCCGCUCGGGAGCGGACAAGAACAACGGUAUUAUUAACUGGUCAAGGGUGGCCAUGUUUAAUAAUGCUAUUGCUUCCAUGGCCCUUAGGGAAGUGGCCCGCGUGGGGGCUCGAUAUACCUGGACCAACAAACAGCUUACGCCGGUGCGUUCGGUCUUGGACAGGGUUUUUAUGUCCUCGGAGUGGGAGGUGCUGUUCCCCCUGUGCUCUCUACACGCAGAAACUAGGAUCGGGUUGGACCACGUCCCCCUCAUCCUUUCCUCGGGGGAGGAAAGGCUUAAACGUAGCCCGCGUUUCUUCUUCGAAACAGCAUGGCUGGAGUCUCUGGACUUCGAGCAAACCUUCCUUUCGAAGUGGGCGAAUUGCGUUGCUCGCAUCGGGCGCGUACGCGACCCCAUGGAGUUCUGGAUAGCCGCGGGGGCGGGUAUGCGAGCGGCUCUCAAAGGGUGGGGAGCUAAUCAGGGUUGGGCGGAUAAGCGGUUAAGGGUGCGCCUGACUGAGGAGCUAGCCCAGCUAGACGCAGCGGCAGAUCUGCACAUCUUUUCCGCGCAGGACUGGGCCCAGCGCUACGCGCUUGAGGCCCAAGUCGAAUCCCUCCUCAGGGCUGAGGAAGAGUACUGGCGUAGGCGCGGUGGAAUAAAGUGGACGCUCAAGGGCGACGCGAACACAAAAUACUUCCACGCAUACGCAAAUGGCCGACGCCGUAAGUGCGCUAUCCUCCGUCUUCAAUCGGAGCAGGGGCUCAUACUGCGGCAACAGGAUAUCGUCCGGCACAUCUAUGAGUUCUACAUCCAACUCAUGGGUUCCAGGGAGGAACCCAGGGCUCGCCUGAGGGAGGAUGUGUGGGACCCUGCGUUGCGGGUCACGGACGAGGAAAACGAGAACCUGAGCUUAGCCUUCCUCCCGGAGGAGAUUGACAAGGCGACGCUGGGUAUGAAAUCUGACACUGCGCCGGGGCCGGAUGGGUGGCCGGUGGCGAUGUUCAAGCGGUUUUGGCAAGUGCUCAAAACCCCCAUUUUUGACGUGUGCAAUGGUUUCAUGCGCGGUACGGUAGACAUUUCCCGCCUGAACUUUGGGGUUCUCUCUUUGAUCCCCAAGGACCCGGGUGCGGAUCACAUUAGACUUUUUCGACCUAUUGCCUUAAUUAACGUCCCGUUUAAAAUUUGUGCUAAGGCUUGUUCUACUCGCAUGUCUCCGAUAGCCCACCGCAUUAUUAGUAGAACCCAGUCCGCGUUCAUUCGGGGACGUAACAUCUUGGAGGGGCCGCUGGUCCUCCAAGAAAUUAUCCACUCCCUUAAGCGCGCUCGACAGCCAGCGAUUAUCCUCAAACUCGAUUUUGAGAAGGCGUACGACCGCGUGAACUGGGAGUUCCUCCGACAGGUACUCCUGGACCGAGGUUUCUCGUCGGUUUGGGUUCACCGCAUGAUGCAGUUGGUCUCGGGAGGCCAAACGGCGAUCGCGGUGAACGGAGAAGUAGGGAACUUCUUCCGCAACAAGCGCGGGCUGCGUCAAGGGGACCCAGCGUCGCCGUUGCUUUUUAACUUCGUGGCGGACGCUUUAGGCGCCAUGCUAGACAGGGCUCGCCUAGCAGGCCACAUUAGGGGUGUCGUGGACAACCUAAUCCCGGGAGGAGUGUCCCACUUGCAAUACGCGGAUGACACUCUUCUUCUUUUCGAGCCCGACACACAUAGUAUUGCUUCGGUCAAAGCUAUACUGUUGUGCUUCGAACUCAUGUCGGGACUAAAAAUUAACUUCCACAAAAGUGAGGUGGUGUCCAUAGGGAUGGAUGCGACAGAAAGUCAACGGGUCGCCAACCUGCUUAACUGCAAACUAGGCCAGUUCCCGUUUACUUACCUCGGGCUCCCAAUAGCGGCAAAGAAGUGUACAAUCGCUGACUGGGAGCCCCUCUCCUCCAAGGUGGCGAAUAGGGUUUGCCUGUGGAGGGGCCGUUUUAUGUCUUCAGGGGCAAGAUUAAUCCUUACCAACACCAGCCUCUCAUCUUUGCCCAUGUUUGCCAUGGGUCUGUUCUUGCUGGCGGACGGGGUACACUCUAAGUUUGACACACCGCGGUCACGUUUCUUUUGGGAAGGAGCGGGACCGAAACGAAAAUACCAUAUGGUUAAAUGGCAAGCCGUGUGUCGUCCCAAAACCCAGGGGGGUCUCGGGAUCAUCAACUCCAAGUUGAUGAACAUCACACUAAUGUGCAAGUGGAUCUGGAAAAUGACUCAGGGUGAGACUGGCCUCUGGAUCGACCUCCUCCGGGCAAAAUAUUUCCCGCGAGGGGAUUUUUUUGAGCGGCUCCCAGUGGGUCUCCUUUCUGGAAUUCCAUUCAAUCCCUUAAACCCCUCUUUGCCAGGGGCGCAAAGUUUGCGGUUAACAACGGACGCUCUACGCGUCUCUGGCUUGAUCACUGGAUUGGCCAGCGCCCAUUAUGGGCGGAGUUCUGACAACUAUACUCCUUAG
rnacentral:rRNA from 1 species